rnacentral:lncRNA from 1 species
GAAUAAUUCUGUCUUUUUUGUUUUUGUUUCCACGUAUUAAAUGUUAUGCCACUUGCCACACCUUAAUUUAAAACAUUCUCCUGAAUAUUUCCUUAUCUCUUCAGCUCCCUGAAAGUGAUCCACACUCAGCUGCUGACAGAUUUUCGGGACAAGAGUGAAGCCAUUAAGCUCACCACCAGAUGUAUCGCCCUUGACGUCAACAGCCCAAGCUCCCAGCUCCCUACUGGUCAAUACAAACCCAACUAUGUGAGCUAUAAAGAGUGGUUGUCCCACUGCAGGAACCUGAGGCUGUCGGCCGAAAACCUGAUCAAGGACUCCUCUUCCUUCAGGGGAAACCUGCGUUUUACUCUGGUCAAUCUAAAAAAUGCCCAUGAGCGCCAGCACCGCAUCACAGAUGAUGCCAUGAGAAAGAAGUUCAAUAAGCUGGCCAGGGUCCAGGAUACACUGAUCUGGGAGAGGCAGCGGACAAGGGAUGAGAUUUCUGAUCUGACAAAGGACAUACAGAAAGUGUCAGUUCAGAUCAGUAACUGUACCUCCAAGCUGCAUCAGGCCACCCACCGCCUGGACAUCCUCCACCAGAGGCCCAGACGUGAGCUCUGCCUGGACCAGCCUCUCUUCAGCGUCAGGCUGGAGAAACAUGACCUGGAAAUCAUGGCAGCUGGACUUUCGCCCCAUACUGAAGCGGUCUCAGCAGGACCUUGAGGUCACAUGCAGGCGCCUGAUCAUUCUGGAUAACAAACUGGCCAACAAUGUUUGUACCAUGGAGUUGGAGCAGAAGUGCCAGAACCUGCACCAUAGUUUCCUUCCUGCGCUCGACACCACUGUGAUCCUCACCAACAAGCCCAGGUUCCACACGGGCCGCUCCAGCGCUCUCUCCUACUUACAGUAGAGCCCGGAAGAGUGCAUUAGCGCUCUACUGCUUCCCUCUGGUCUUUUCCAUGUGGUGUUGCAAAAUGAAAUAAAAAACCUCAAAGAAUAAUUACUUUGGCUCGUCUAGAAUCAGUAUGUGACUCGCCACUGAUU